rnacentral:rRNA from 1 species
CGUUAAGUCCUCAUGGCCUUUAUGCCCAGGGCUACACACGUGCUACAAUGGGUGGUACAAAGAGAUGCAAUCUCGCAAGAGCAAGCAAACCUCAAAAAAGCCAAUCCUCAGUUCGGAUUGGAGUCUGCAACUCGACUCCAUGAAGUCGGAAUCGCUAGUAAUCGCGGAUCAGCACGCCCGCGGUCCGAAUACGUUCCGGGCCUU